rnacentral:ncRNA from 1 species
AAAGACUUAGUCCUAACCUUACUGUUGGUUUUUGCCAGAAUUAUACAUGCAAGUAUCCGCGUUCCAGUGUAGAUGCCCUAGGCACCCUUUAACCAAGUCGAUAGGAGCGGGUAUCAGGCACACACAACUGUAGCCCAAGACGYCUUGCACUUGCCACGCCCCCACGGGUACUCAGCAGUGGUUAACAUUAAGCAAUGAGUGUAAACUUGACUUAGUCAUGGCAACCUUAAGGGUCGGUAAAUCCUGUGCCAGCCACCGCGGUCAGACAGGAGACUCAAAUUAACAGUAUAACGGCGUAAAGGGUGGUAACAUGCUAUCCAAGUAACUAAGAUUAAAAAGCAACUGAGCUGUAAUAAGCCCAAGAUGCUCAUAAGGCCAACUACCAAAGAAGAUCUUAGACUGAYGAUUGAUUGAAAUCCACGAAAGCCAGGGCCCAAACUGGGAUUAGAUACCCCACUAUGCCUGGCCCUAAAUCUUGAUGCUCUAUGCUACCUGAGCAUCCGCCCGAGAACUACGAGCACAAACGCUUAAAACUCUAAGGACUUGGCGGUGUCCCAAACCCACCUAGAGGAGCCUGUUCUGUAAUCGAUGAUCCACGAUAUUACCUGACCACUCCUUGCUGAGUCAGCCUACAUACCGCCGUCGCCAGCCCACCCCCCCUGAUGGUUCAACAGUGAGCGCAAUAGUCCYUACACACUAGUAAGACAGGUCAAGRUAUAGCCCAUGGAGUGRAAGCAAUGGRCUACAUUUUCUAGAUUARAACAUUACGGCAAAAGGGUCUGAAAUGGCCYUUAGAAGGCGGAUNNNNNNNNNNNRUNNNNNNNNNNNNNNNNNNNUAAGCYGGCUCUGGGAYGYGUACAUACCGCCCGUCACCCUCCUCACAAGCGACCCAAACCCCAAUACAUUAAUACGCUAUCCAGCUAAAGAGGAGGCAAGUCGUAACAAGGUAAGUGUACCGGAAGGUGCACUUAGACAAC